rnacentral:rRNA from 1 species
CCUACGGGUGGCAGCAGUGAGGAAUAUUGGUCAAUGGCCGCAAGGCUGAACCAGCCAAGUCGCGUGAAGGACGAAGGUCCUAAGGAUUGUAAACCUCUUUUGUCGGGGAGCAAAAGACGCCUCGCGUGCCUUUCCGAGGGUACCUGAAGAAAAAGCAUCGGCUAACUCCGUGCCAGCAGCCGCGGUAAUACGGAGGAUGCGAGCGUUAUCCGGAUUUAUUGGGUUUAAAGGGUGCGUAGGCGGUUGGAUAAGGUAGAGGUCAAAUGUCGGGGCUUAACCCCGGGCCUGCCUUUGAUACUGUCUGACUAGAGAGCGGAUGCAGUAGGCGGAAUGAGCAGUGUAGCGGUGAAAUGCUUAGAUAUUGCGCAGAACUCCGAUUGCGAAGGCAGCUUGCCAAUGCGCAUCUGACGCUGAGGCACGAAAGCGUGGGUAGCGAACAGGAUUAGAUACCCUAGUAGUC